UUUGAAAUUGCAAUUUUUCUAACCGAGGUUUUCUUCUUCCAACCCUCGGUACUUGGUUUAAACCCAGAAUUUCCAUCACAUUUCCCGUUAGCUUCGGUCGCCAUUUUGAAUUUUGGAGGGAAUUCGUUUCCGGUCAAAUAACUCGGUCAUUUUUAACGUUUUACUAAAAAUGGCGGGGACUAAACUUGUGGGAAAUUAAUGUCUCUACAACUUUGGGUACGAUAGUUUUUUGUCUACGAUCGAUACUUUGCGAUUUAAACUAUAAAUUCAACACGGCGGACGAAGCUAAUGUAGUCUCUGUGAGAAAUUCGGGAUUUAGACUAACCCCCUACCCCAAAGAUUAGGAAAAGAAAAUUUUGGUAUCUAGAAAUUGCAGUUUCUGGUUCAUUUUUAUUUUUAUGCUGUACAUUCUGACUGGGCUAUAUAUGCAGGGAAGGGAUAACCGUGACGCGUUCCGCGUAGAGCCGCGAGCCGUCUGGAAAUUCCCGGACGGUUGAAAAAUUUCCGCAAGACAAAAUAAGUUAGGCAACGUAAACCAGGAAAUGUACCGAAGAAACUGUAAACGCGUAGAUGACGUGACCGCUGAAAGCGUCGACAAAGUCCAGGCCAAAGGUAUUAUCGCAAGCCGUCGAGGUCAAGUAACAAGUUCACGAACGAUAUCGAAAGCCGAUUUCAUACAUCGAUAUGAUAUGCGUGUACACGUCGUUGAACUCGCUCUUUAAUCGCCCUACGCGAAUUUUUUUUAUCUGUCGUAGUUGACGGGGUCGUGUUUUUAUUACAUACAGCGUAAUUAUUGCAAAAUACCCGGAGAUCAAAGUCUUCAAGAAAGCUAAUGCCGUAUACGGAGAACAAAGUAAAGAGAAACAGUGGAAAAUCUCUGAGAUCCGAUUCACCGGUUGGGUUUGGAAAUAAGGACGAUGACGAAGACUCGAGAGUUCCUCAAGGCGGAACUCGCAUUCCAGAGAGCCAGUUCGACACCUGCAGUCCACCCCAUGUAUGCACAUGCAUGCACAUGUACAAUGUGCAUAUAUGUACAAGGGUGGGUGCAAUGUGGAACGAGUAGAGCGGCGAACGGCGUGGCCUUCGCUAUGUCUUGCAAUGGCCAUGCACACCAUGCAGCGACAGCAAUCGAUCGUUGGAACACAUUUCAGGUACGUUAUACAUAUGUGAACGGGUGCAGAAUUGUGCAGCUAUCGCAUGCAGCAGGAUAGGUUGUCGCAUGAUGCGUACGAAGCUUCAAGCCGUGGGUGUUUUGAGCGUUAAACUGUCGCCAAGCAGUCAUCCAGCUCUAACUGGAUUCAUGAAUGUGUUGUUUAUAAUAAUGUAGUGUACAUUAUGUACCCAUAGUUGUAUGCGCACAGUGUGUGAUAUAGACAUUGUACAAUAUAGAUGUAAACGUACAAGCCGAUAUGUAUUGCGCGUCGUGGUCGUUAAAUUUGGUUAUUACAACGUAACCGGGAGUUUUAUCGGCCGCGUGAAUGUCACAACCCGUAUGAUUUCUCAAACCGUCGACUCUCGGUUUCAUGUGUAACACGAACCGAAUCGGAACGAUCAAGGUCCAUCGCAAACGCACUAACACGAACGUCAUUACAUUCGAGGAUUAAUUAAAAAGCUGUAACGAAGAGAAAAUGGUGAACGUACCGCAGAAGAAUGUUUAGAAAGUUAAAUCGUAUAACAGACUGCAGAUAAGCAUUACUUCCUCGUGAUAUCUUAUCGUUGGGAUCAGAUCGUGAAAAAAAAUUGUCCGAUAAGCUGAUUCUUAAAUACCGGAGUACAGGAUAUGACGAAUUUCGAAUAGCUAUACACAUACGUAUAUAUAAUAUGUAUAGAGUGAUAAUUAAGAAAACAGACAUGAAUCCAGCAGUUGAAAAUUUGCAUAAGUGUAUACGAUAAUUAUAAAAUAGAAAGAAAAUUGUGUUUCUCUUGAUUUUUCUUUUCCCAAAGCAAAAAAAUAAAAAGAACAGCAAAAAUACGUUUACAACGAAAGAAAAACAAAACGUAACAAAAGACAUACCGCAACUCGCGCGGAUAAUAUUUAUAAUUUACCGUCGACGAGCCAUUAGAAUCGUCGGUUAUUUUCAUAAUAUAAAUUAUGAUAAUAGGCAGCGGUAAUGAGGAAUAUCGUCGGAGUUAAUGCAGCAGCGGAGAGCUUCAAGUAUAUCGCGAUUUAUUGGGAAACUGCAACAAGCACUUAGUGCCGUGCAAUUGAGUCCAUAGUGUGCGAAUAAGAAGGCCGAAUUAACACGUAUCGACGAAUUUAUGCUAUAGGUAGAUUUAAGCCUGCACCGCGAGUUCGAAGCGAUAACUGAGCCGCGAGAAGCGAGAUGGAAGAUUCUCGAAAGCGUUAUAAGGAAGUUCCAGCGGCUCCAGCAGGGGGCUUCCCGAGUCAACCUUGCGCAGGCUCAACGCCGACGCCGCGACGUCGACGUCGACGUCGAGGCGCCUCGCCCACUCCAGCUAUCAACGCUAUCAUCGCCUGGCGUCCCUUCUCCACCUCCACCAAGCCGAGACUCCGGCGGCAGCGCCAACAGCUGAUUGUGACACUAUCAAGGUCGCUUUCUGACACACGCUUCCAUCUACGUCACACCGUCGAGCCUUUCUCGCCAACCAAUCGGAGACCCUCGAUGAACGACUUGACCUGCGCGGUUGGACUUUCGCUCUGCCUCUCUGUGUUACGUAUCGACGCAUAUGGAUGGCUUCGAGCGCGUGUGCUUGCAUAGUAUAGGUAUUGUAUGCGAACCAGUCGAUGUCCGACCAGUUUUACGGUUAUACUUUCUUCGGAAGUAAAACAAUUAGGAAAUUAAAUAUACGGACAAGAAGUUUUUUAACGUAUGUAGACAUGCCUCGACCGAUUGUGAUGUACCCAUCUCCAAGAGCAGAACUUGGCACAGGCUGACCUCCAGUAUUUGUACCCAUUGCAUACGCUGGAUCAAGAUCAUAUAUUACCAAGAUGUCACAGGACUCACUGGAGGCAUUGGUCGUCUUGGUACAGAUGGAGUUCCUUCUCCAAAUAAAGCCGUAGCUUGUACUGGAUUCGGUGAUCUGUGGUGACGUUGACUAUUAGUACAGAAGAGCGACAAACAUUUCAGUAAAUUAUUGACACGUCAUAAGCAGUAUGCGAUAGUGUGUCAUAUUUUUUACCUAAUUAGUGGCUUUGAGACUCGAGAAAUUGGGCCAUACUUGCUGGCUGGGGGGGCAUCGAAUGGUACGAAUUCAUCAUCCAACAAUAUAGAAUCGGAGUGAUGAAAAUUAUUUCCAUGAUUUAUAUUGGACGAUGAAGAUAUUUGCGAUCCAGAAAUGUUU